GUCCAGGGUAGCCUAGUGGACAUGGCAUCUGCCCGGUAAGCAGAACGCUGUGGUUCCCAUCCCUGGACA